UAAUUUUAUACUAAGAUUCGUGCGAGUACUUUUGUGUUUUCUGUCUUUCUAGUUUGAUUGCGUCACUGUUAUCCCCGCCGCCGCCGCCCCCAUCCGAGACAUCUUCGGCGACCGGAGUCCCUGCCCCUCGGACGCUUCGAUCUUCUUCAAGUCGGACGCUGCCGCCCCGCUCUGCUUCGCCUCCGACUAACCCGGCCGGUCGCCGCGCCCAGCCGCCCACACAAGACGCAAGGUCAAGUCGUCUCGAGCUUUUCCCUCUCAAGAUCCGCUCCCUCUGCUGGCGCGCGCGGCCGCGGCACUGGAUCCAUGGCUCCGCUCACUGCGUGCGAGCUUGAGAGGGAGAGCUCUCUCUCUCUCCCCCUCAAGCCCAGUGUUCAGUCUCUCUCUGAGCACUAGUGUUCUGUUGCACGCAAUCCAGUUUACCUUCUCACAAGUGACGGACCGUCAUGUCUUUUUAGCUCUAGAUUUUUUUUUUCUAUAUCAUAUGCAUGGUUAACUGCUCUCUGAAACUGUAUUUGGCACAAGAAAUGGUAACUGAACCUUCAAACUCUAGAUGUAUCGUUAAAGGCAUGUCAACAACUGUAAGAGACAAGAUCAGUCUACUUAUGAUGUGUAUAAUCUCUUCUUAGAAAUGGUCACGAGGAAUAGUGUUUCCAAUCUCUGUCUUCGCCUCAGUAGUAGUAGUAUGUUGUUAUUGUUAUUACACCAUAUAUUCUUCUCUAGACCCAAAGCAAUGACUGACAAGUAUACCACAUAUAUCAAUAUUAUCUUUUAGUUUCUUUUGGACUACCACCAGAUAUAUCCUAAUAAUCUUCUAACUGUUUCUGGUUGCUAAUUCUACUAGUUUUGGUUACAGAUCGUACCGUGCAUCUCAAUGUUGUGCAGAUGUUCCAGAUUUUUACAGGCGUGCAAGAAUGAGCAAGGGUAAACCAUUGCCAGUUAGGCUUGCGGCCCAGCCACUCUUCUCUGUCCGCUGGCACCAAGCUCCCAUCCCGCUGCCCUGGAUCAUGUCUUAUACUAGCUUGUUUAUGCAACACCUUUCUUGAUUUCCCGAGUCGAGGCUUCUCGUUCUGCUUCAUGCUCCCCUAUGAACUUGAGCUAUCUCCAAGGUUCUAUCUGGAAGAGCGUCCUCAGCAAACUUAUGCAGAUCCAAUGAAUCUCUGAACAUGCCUUCUGUUGGGCUCCUUCCCGUAAACAUCUCAAGCAGCAAUAUGCCAAGACUAUAAAUAUCACCAGCGGUUGAGACUGCAGAGCCUUCUCCAUACUCUGCAAUUAUGCAAAUUUUGUGCUCAGCACGACAUAUUCGAGCGAAAAGUAAAAUAUAAUAUAAGAAGAGUUUUAGUCACCUG